rnacentral:lncRNA from 1 species
GUCGUCAGAAAACAAGGAGCCUAGAGUACAUCAAAAUAAUUUAUUUUGGAUUGAACAGAGUGAAUUGAAAAAAUAACGAUUUUUUCGAAAUACUAACUUAAAGGAUUUUGUUAUUCCAUGCAUAGAUUACCUUAGCCGUAUUUGGCAAAUUAUUUUAGAAUGUUGGGUCCUCUAUGCUCUUCAACUUUGUGCUUGUUUUGGAUUUCUAACUAUUUUGAUCUGAGCGUCACGGGUGAGUCUCAUGUAGACGAAACGUGCGUCUGGCGUAUUAAAUUAUAAGCCUGGUACCUUUGAUAACUAAUCAAAAAC